UCUUGGUCAGUAAGUAUUAGGGUUAUUUAUUUUUUUUCAUAUAGCCAUAGUAACUGAAAUAAUUAGGAAGGUAUAUAGUUUCAGAGUUUGUUUUUUAAUUAAGUUUUGGUAAUAAGGUUUUGCUGGUUUCAUGAAAUGAAUUGGGAAACAUUUCAUCUUUUAUUUGGUAUGGAAUAAUUUAAAUAACAUUGUAAUUAUUUGUUCCUUAAUUGUUAGAACUCAGAUUUAAAGGUUUUUUGGCUGUGUUAUUUAAAAUAAUAGGGGAAGGGAGGGAAAAAUGAAACAAGACGAAACCAGAGGGGGAGACAAACCAUAAGAGACUCUUAAUCUCAGGAAACAAACUGAGGGUUGCUGGAGUGGAGGGGGUGUGGGAGGGAUGGGGUGGCUGGUUGAUAGACAUUGGGGAGAGUAUGUGUUGUCACGCUCAGGGUGUUGUGUAAGACUAAUGAAUCACAGACCUAUACCCCUGAAACAAAUAAUACAGUGUAUGUUAAUUUAAAAAAUUAAAAAAAAUAGCUCUUAAAAUGGUGUUAAAGGGAUCCCUGUUUCUAAAAAAAAAACAACAAUAAUAAUAAUAAUAAUAAUAGUCACCUGGGUGGCUCAGUCAGUUUACCGUUGGACUCUUGAUUUUGGCUCAGGUCAUGAUCUCAGGUCAUGGGAUUGAGCCCCCACAUCAGGCUCUGUGCUCAGCGUGGAGUCUGCUUGUCCCUCUGCCUCUGCUCUUCCCACAGCUUGGGCGUGUGCUGCACCUGUCUCUUUCUCUCUCUCAAAUAAAUAAAAUCUUUAUAAAUUAAUUAAUUAAAAAAAUAAUGGUCACCUUUCCAGUCUCUUCAUUGGUAAUUAGUCAGUUUGGCUUUUCUACUUAGUUUAAUUUGGGCUAUUUGUUAUUUUCUGGGAAAUCAUACAUUUCUUCUAUUCCCAGUCUUGCUAAUAUUUGUUUUGCUUUAUAUCUUUAGGCAGUUAAAAAAAAAUCUUUUGGAAUUAUCAGUUCUCCUACUUUUUCUCUGUAUCACCAAUUAUAUCUGUUAUUUUUAUUCAUUCACUCUUUAUAUUUUCUUUUGGUUAAUUUUGUGCCUUUUUUUUUAAACCUUAAGAUAAAUGUAACAUACCUGCAGUUGUAGUCAUUUGUCUUCAUAAUGAAAGGGUUUAGGGAAACAGUUUUUAUCUAAGUAUGGCUUUUGCUGUGUUCUGUACAUUUUUAUGUACUUAUUUUUUCAUUAAUUUCUAGGGAGUUUGUGAUUUUUCCUCUUUGAUCAACAGUUAAUUUUCAAGUCUUAAGAUGUUUCAAACCAUUUAAAAAUUAUUUCUAGUAUUAUUGAAUUAUGAUCAGUGACUAUGGCCUGUAAUAUACUUACUUUUAAAUAUUUGUUAUAGUUUGCUCUAUGGAAAUUUUUAUAAAACUAUGAACAAAUUAAAAUGUAAAUUCUCUCAAUGAGUGAAGUAAGAUUGCAUAUUGUUUUAGUUUAGACUGCUAUAAGAAAGGCAGCCUCACCCUUUGAAACCAUUCUGUCCCCUGAGUUCUUGCACUCUGGGCCUGUGAUGGCAGUGGGAGCUCUGAUGAUUUCUGAUUUACCCUGAUGGUGGGUGGUGGUGGUAGUCUUUCCUUGUCUUAAAGAACAGCAUCUGGCUUCUCUUGAGAUGGAUGUUUUAGGUCUGUGGUUUAGGUAUUAAUCUCCUUAUCAAAUGGUCACUUUGCUAUACCUUUAGUAUCCUCUUCCAAAAAUACGUUUUCAUUUUUUGCAGUAUGGAUAGGCUGAAAAUUUUCCAAAUCUUUAAGUUCUAGUUCCUUUUUUUUUUUUUGCUUAAUUAAUAAUUCUGUCUUCCAAUCAUUUCUCUCUUCUCACAUUUUACUGUAAGUGGUCAGGACGAACCAGGUCACUCCUUCAAUACUUUGCUUAGAGAUCUCCUCAGCUAAAUAUCCAGUUCCAUUGCUUGCAAGUUCUGCCUUCCACAAAACACUAAAACAUGAACACCGUUCAGCCAAGUUCUUUGUCACUUUAUAAUAAGGAUCAUCUUUUCUUCAGUUUCCAAUAACAUAUUCCUCAUUUCCAUCUGAAACCUAAUCAUAGUGGGCUUUGUGGUCCAUAUUUUUAUCAGCAUUCCAUUCAGGAUUAUUUAAGUAUUUUCUAAGAUGAUUGGGGUUUUCUCUCUGGCUCUCCUCUUUUCUUUCUGGGUCCUCACUAGAAUUACCCUUUAAUGCUCAUAUUUUGAGCAUGCACCUCUAAACCUUUUCAGCCACUACCCAUUAUCCAGUACCAAAGCCACUUCCACAUUUUUAGGCAUUUGUUACAGCAGCACCCCACUCUUGGUUCCAAAAUCUGUCAUAGUCAAGGUUCUCCAGAGAAACAGAGAAUUCCCACGAUCUGUUGUCUGAAGCUGGAGGCCCUAGAAAGCCAGUGGAGUAAUCCAUUCCAAAUUUGAAGGCCUGAGAACCAGAGGAGCCAGUGGUAUAAAUCCCAGUCCAGGGUCAGGAGAUGAGAUAAGAGGUCUCAGCUCAAAUGAUGAAGCAGGAAAAAAGGAGCAAAUUCCUCCUUCCUCCAUCUUUUAUUCUGUUUACACCCUCAACAGAUUGGAUGAAAUCCAUCCACACUGAGAAAGGCAAUCCACUAGUCCACCAAUUCAAAUGCUAAUCUCUGGAAACAGCUCUCACAGAUACACUCCGAAAUAAUGUUUAAUAUGGGCACUCCAUGGCCACUCAAGUAGAUGAAUUUAAGGAAGAAUUACCCUGGAGAUAUGCCUGAAUUAGUGGGUUGGAAAAAUCAAGAGGAAGAAAUAUCUAAAAACUAAGAAUAAAUACAUACCAAAAAAAAAAAAAAAUGAAUUAGGACAAAGACAUUGACUUAAAAACUCAAUUUUCAUACACCGUUUCUAUGGAAAUUACUGGAACUUGUGCAUUAUCAAAGUAAUGAUGUAAGCCAAGGGAGAAGAAAACAAAAUUUAAGAAAUAGGAUCUAACAGAAAAGAAAGGCAAAGGAAUUUACUGAGUGUUGGUGAAGAGAGAUACCAAAUGACAGCUGUGCAGCAGGCCUGAAAAUAAACCAAUUUAGACUGAAACAGGUCAGAAAACCCAAGGAGAGACUUCUUUAAGAAGAUGAAAUUAGUAAAAUACCUAAUGGGUUUGCAUGUAUUGAGAAAAGAUUUACAUAAGUUUUAGAGAACAUGGGGGAUUUGAAAUCUGUGGGGCCUGAUGUUUUCUAUAAAAAGUCUUGUAAAGUUUUAAAUGAUGCACAUGUGUAACUCUGUUAAAAAUAAAAUCCCCAAAAACCUAAAUUAAAAGGAAAUAAUGAGAGAAGACAGACUUCAUAGAUCCAAGAGAUAUAAUAUUAGGAGUUCCACAAAAACUAAAAAACUAAAAAAAAAAAAAAGAGAGAGAAAAUAGACCUUGUAUCAGAAGAAAGACCUAAGUUUGUAUCUUGAAGGGUACCCCAUUCCCUCACCCCAACCUGAGUUUUAAUUAGGGCUAAUGAGAAAAACUGAUAUGAUAUGCCUAUAAAAUUUUCAAACUCCAAGGUUAAUGAUAAAAUCUUACUGGAUUCUAGAUUAAAAAAACCAUGUUACUUGCAAAGGAAAAAAAUUCAGACUGAGAUUGAGUUUCCUGUAUGCAGCUUUGGAGACUAGAAGCUGAUAGGAUAAUAUGAAUGGAAUAGUGAGAGAAUUAUACCCCGUGAGUCCUAUAGUAGGCUAAACUGUCAGUUACUUGUCAGGGAGAAAGAUUUUUACAGAUGUGCAAGGUUCAGAGAUUAGUGAAGUCUUGAGGAAAUACUCUAACAAAAGUGAAUAGUAACUGUAGGAUAUGAGAAGAUAAAAAAGAGAGGAAAUAGUGGUAAGCAAUAAAGUUGACAGUAUGUACAUGGUUCAGUCUCAUUGAAUAAUGACAAAUGGAAAAUGCUUACUGUUAAGUUCUAAAGAAGCAUUCGGAUUUCUCCAGCUUUCAAUGUGAAGAUUUUUCAAAUAAGAGAUUUGAAAGGCUUUAAACUAGAUUCACCAAUUUCUCUUACAGUCUUUCUCUUCUAAUUCAGGAAUACUACUACUUUAGAAAUGACUAAUUCCAGGGCAGGAAAAGUAGAAGGUGAGCCUGCAUUGUUUUAACAUGCCAGGAAGCAAGGAGUUGCUCAAAGAUGAAUGGGAACAUGUCGAAAGGACAGAGAGUGCAUGCAGAAGAUCUACUGGGGAGUACUUUGGGAAGAAUUCACACCCAUAAGGGAGUGGAUAAGGCAGGAUUGGAAGAGAGAGAGAAGUUGAACUGUGAUGCAGUUCAUCUUCUAAAUGUGGAACUCUGGACCUGAGAUGGCUCUUCAGAGUUCUUCUGAAUUGAGGCAAGGGGGCUGACUCUUGUACCUCUCAUGGUCCAUUUAUUUGAUGUGGGCUUCCUCUGGAAAGGGGCGUACCCUCGGGUGAGGAAGCUCCCUUCCAUCGAGGACAGUUGCUGGGGAGAUGCCAGUUGUGAGCUGCUGCAUACGGUAUUUUCAUACCUGGGGAAGAGUGCCUCGGUCCUGAAGAAAGUCCUGGAUAGUGCAUCCUGACAGUUUCCAUUAUCGUCUGUUUGCUUCAUAUGAUAAGUUUAUCCCAUCUGGGAAUAGCUCCUCCAGGAUUAUGGUUGAUCUCUUUCUGGAAAUAGGAGUGGUAGGUAAGUAGGACUUAACUCCUUAACUCCAGUUUUUCUUGAUACCGCUGGUCUUGGGGCCACAACUAAUAAUUCAUUAUAUCCUUUUGAUACCAAUUCUAGAUUUCCCCUUACCUUUGGCUUACACCUCUGCUGGCCUAGGCAGAUUACCUGAGGUCAUUGAGUCCCUUAUAUCUGAGAGGUUCUGAGGCCUAGUCAUCAUGCUAACCAUAGUCUCCAGACUGUGGCUGUUGUAUUUGUCCAUUUGUUGUCAAAAUUAGGCAAGGAGUAUGAAGAGACACCUUUCAUAUAUAUUCUUCUUAUGACAAACGUGUUUAUCAUCUGGGUGAUAAAAAUAUAUUUCCCUGGCUGAUAAAAAUAUAGAAGUCCUAUCUCUUCCUGAUGACUAAAGUCAGUUACUCCUCCCAGAUUGGUGACUUCUUUCCUUGCCCUCUGGUCUCUUGGCCCAAGGUGAUUGAAGUGACCAGGUGGCAGUUGUAACUUAAAGUUUAAUGGGCUGUGUGUGUCCCUUGGUAAGAACAGGAACAGGAUCUGUAGGUUCAUAGAACCUAGCAUUGCUGGGAAGGGACAUAUACCUUGCCAAAUGGGUCACUGGGAAUGAUGGCAAAUGAGGCCAUUCCUACUUUCCCCCUCUUUGUUUCAUGGCUGUAUGUAUUUUACUUAUUACAGAUGCAGCAGCAUAUAUAAUGGUUAUUGAUUUAGAGUUUAACUGCAUCUUGGAGGAGGGUGGAUACUAUCCACAUGGUAUCUCCAAAGGAGUGCUUCAGUCAUGCCUUUAGAAUGCUCUUCCAUUGCUCAUAGGCCGGCAGCUUCUGAAUGUUGCAGUAUGUGAUAGGACUGGUGGAUCCCAUGGUCUUUGCUUAUAUCCUUUGCUAUAAAGAGGGUCCCUUGGUCUGAAGUAAUGUUACAUAGGAUAUAGUUAAAGUGGACCUGAAAUGUUAGCUCUCCGGAAGUGGUGCUAAGGCAAAUCCAUACUACUAAUAUGUGUUGAUUCUUGUCAGGUGAAUCACUUCCUUCCAGAGUGAAAAGGGUUCAAUGUAAUCAAUUUGUACUAAGUAUCUGCUUGAUCUCUUUGAGGCAGUGUGCCAUAUUAGGGGCUCAGCUUUGGUCUCUGUUACUGGCAUGUUGGAUAAUCUGCAGUAAUAAUUGGCUAGAUCAGCCUUGGUGAGAAGGAACCCAUACUGUCGGAGCCUGCCACCAUGGCUACUUUGUCCAUUAAACCAGCACUAAGGUGACAGUGGCAGAAGCUACAUGAUUUUGGUGGUUAGUAUUCUGUAUACUUGGUUGUUUCGUGCCUCUUUUUUGGUAGGUGUUCUCUAGUGUAGUAUUAAUAUGUGACAUAAAGAUCCUCAUACUUUGUGUCCACUCCCACACGCCAGUCUUCAUACCCUGUCCCCAGGAAAACCAGUUAAGAGACUUUGUAAUAUUUUAGAUGAGAGUUAAAGAAGUCCUGAGUUAGCAGAGUGCCAGUGAAUAUAUAAAUAAGCAUAUCUGAGCAGUGUUUCAGGUUAGGUUUGUGACAGUUUGGAGACUUCAGAGUUUUCAAUCAAUAGGAGGAUCAGGAAUCCAUUUUAAUGAUGGGAGGGAUUUAGGAAGAAGUUGGUCUGUAGGUGGGAGAGAUACAUUUUGUUUUGGACCACCAGACUAUAAAGAUCCUGGUCUGGAACUUACGCAGGAGGUCAGAAUUAGAAACAAACAUGUAGCCAUGUCAUAAGUCUACAUAGCCAUUUCAAAACUCAACUGCAGGGAGGAGUUUAUGUGCUAUCACUGCUCUAAUAUACCAUUUACAGUCCUCAACCAGCUGCUUACUGGGAGAAUGGGAGUAUGAGGGAGCAAAUUAAACAACAGCAGCAAAAAAUACAAGGAAAUUGUUUAAAUCAGGUUUAAAACUUAGGCUUAUGUAAGAAUUUUAAAAUUUCCUUUCAACAAUGCUUAUGUCUUAAUAUAACUGCUUGGGGUCUCAGUUAGCCUGUCACUUUAAGAUAGCAUCUUGGUAUGUGAUGGAGGGGUGACUUCUAUGAUCUUAUUGCUUGAAGCAAUCAGGAUUCUCAAUUCACAUAUUGUCUCAAGGCUCCCAGUGUUGCCGUGGCGAUGUCCUUUGUUGGUUGCUGCUCUCCCUGUCAACACUUGGGACUCCUCUCCUGCAGUUUUGUCAGAGCCUAGUAAUGUUUCUUGGCUGACAUGGCCUCUAGUGUUAGAGAGCUGGCCAGAAGUUAGAGUCAGCUCAGCUUAAGUGGACUCACUUUGAGCUGUGAUCCUCUCCCAUACUCAGAAACCUCAGCUGGCAAGCUCCCUAGCUAGAUGUUCUGGGGCUGAUCUAUGCCAGCCUUGGGAACUAAACUGAGAGGCUUUUUCUGACAGGCUUAGAAAUGUAUUUUGAUACUUUCUUACUCAUUUGCUUUUUAAUUUGUUCGGUAUCUGUCACUACCCACCCUUCCCUUCCAACAAACAUGCACACUAGAGUAUCAGUGGAUGAUAAUGGGGAUCUCAUUAGUUCUUGUUCAUUGCUAAAUCACAAGCUCUAAGGAAAGUACUUGUCACAUGGUUGACCUUUAAUAGAUCUUUAUCAGAUCAAUGAAGGACAGAAAUAAUAGGUGAAAUCCCUAAGAAUAUGUCAUGUGAGAACAAGAUGAGGAUUAAACUGCUUAGUACAUCUUUUACCUUCUAUUUUAGAGGUAGAAGGCAGAGGAAGUUCCAGGGAAGGAAACUGAGAAGAACUGAUCUGGAGAAGUAGGAAGAGAAUGGAGUGCAAAAAAGUGGGAGAAGUAUGUGUCAGUAAAGAGCAAUAAUCAUUGUCAAAGGCUUCAGAAAUCGAGUAGGAGUAACUGAAUAUGACAACUUGGAGGUUAUUGGUAAUUUUGGGUAAAGUACCAACACAUGAAUCUGCAAAAACUCAGAUCUCAAAGAAUUGUACUAUAAGAGGGAGAAGAGAAUUGUGGCAGCAAGUAAAGUCUUUUAUGAAGGUUGACAGUGAAGGGAAGAAGAGAUUAAGAUACGUCACUGGGGUCUUCAGAAACAGGACUCAUGGGGGCUCUCUUCCUUCAAGACGAAAGAGAUUUGGUGUUUCAGUAUGUAGGGAGACCUGGUGGAGGAAAUGGAGGAAGGCUAAAGAGAUGGUUUAUGAAUUAAGGUCUCAAAACUUAACUGGGAAAGGAUGAGAUCAACCUUAGGAAGAUAAGGAAAGAAGAAUGGAUGGAAAGUAGAAAAUCUGAAGCAAAUGGGAAGAACAUGAAGGGAUUUGCAUCAGAUUUUGCUUGUGUAAUAAGGUGUCCAGGUUAUCUGCUUGACGAUGCAUGUGUGCAGAACCCUGUGAAACACUGUGAAACAGGGCUGUGUCAUAAGGCUUGGCCCCCUGCCACUUCUUUUGCAUAUUUCUUUGACCCUAUCUAUUUUUUUUUUUUGAAAGAUUUUUUAUUUAUUUAUUUGACAGAGAGAGACACAGCCAGAGAGGGAACACAAGCAGGGGGAGUGGGAGAGGGAGAAGCAGGCUCUCCACUGAGCAGGGAGCCCAAUGCGGGGCUCGAUUCCAGGACCCAGGGAUCAUGACCUGAGCCGAAGGCAGGCGCUUAAUGACUGAGCCACCCAGGUGCCCCUGUUUGUCCCUAUCUUGACUGAAGGUGAGUGGCCAUGUUCCCUGGAAAUGUGUUCCCAGAGAAUUCUGAAGGAGAGAGUUCUUUAGUUCUUAUUCAGACUCAGGAGGCUUAGUCAAGGGCCAAUUAUCUUUCCCCAUAGGGAAAUUAAUUUCCAGGGAGAGACUUGGGUGCUCUGGAGUUCCCUAGAAUUGAUAGGAGGAUCUUAAUAGAUCUCAAACUCAACUCUGUGAUCCUGGGUUAUGUAAUUAAUAUGGAUAAUUCAGAUAGAACAUGUUUCAGAUUCCUUUAUACCUUAGCAGUGCUGACUCAUUAUCAGAUAAAAUUUAUUUACUCUGAAUGUUUCUUCUUAACUUGGUUCUCUUAAGAGCUGAUGACAGAGCCCACUAGUGUCUUAUUUUAGAUUAUCCUAUGAUAAUUAAGAGUUUAUGGAUUAUAGACUGAUGGGAAAAUUGUCUGAUAAGGUAACUUUAUGUUCUUUAUCCUGUUGAUUUCAUGUAUAUGGAUUUUGUAAAAUGUAGUUUUUUUGGACAAGGUAAAAGAUACCACAUACACAAAGAAGUACAUAAUGUGCACAUCUGGAGUUCAAAUAUUUAUUUAAAAUUGUUUUUAAUUAAUAAAAGUUUUAUAGAGUGCUACUUACCUUGCCUGUGCUUUUUGAUUGUCAUUAAUUUAUUCAUUUAUCAUAUAUUUAUUAGCUAUAAGGUGCAGGUUCUGUUCUAGGUGCUGGGAAUAUAAAUGUGGAAAGGAUACAGUACCUGAAUUUUAAGGAGCUUAUGGUCUGAUCUGGGAGACAGAUAAUUGUGAUAAAAUAAGUACAGUAGUAUAUAGUAUGUGUUAAAAAAGAAAUGUGUACAGGAUGGAGUAGAGCCCAAGGGAAGGAGAGUAGUCCUUUUCUCCCUCAGAAGGGUGGGGACCUGCUGUCAAGAAAGAUUAUCCUGAUGAAAUGAUGCCUGAAUCCUUAAAGACUGUAGGUUGAGCUUCCAGGAAUAGUUCCCAGACCCACAUUGGCUGAAGAGGGAUUGUUGCGUUUGCCACAAUUGGGAUGCGCUAAAGCAGAAAGACACCACCACAACUAUCAGCUCCAGUGUUUCUACUAUGAACAAAAAAAUAACCUGCCACCUUAGGAAGCUGCACUUAAAGCUGCCGUCCCAGACUAUGCCACUGCUGUUUCAAGUCAUCAAUGCAAGUGGAUGCCGAAGUCAAGGUUAACAUCUGAUUGUAGGAACUUAAAUGAAAUCUAGAACCCUAAGUGCAAGAGAUUGGGCAAUAGUUUUUAAGCUUUUUAGCCCCAGUACUAGAAGAAGGUGUUAGAACAUGUACUGAAUGAGCCAUUCCACAGUGUCUAGUAGAAAUAGCCAGCAUUUGGAGAUUUGACCAAGGUGGCCAUAUAGGAGGCUCCUGAACAUCCUUCCUUUCAUGGAUGUACCAAAUGUACAGCUACACUGAGAGAAGCACCCUCUGGAAGAAAUCCAAAAACUAGCUGAGCCAACUCCACACGUUGGGCGGAAGAGAAAAUACCUAGUGGUUGGAAGGGCUGAGACACACUCACCACAAAUCAUAUUCCUGUAGAGUGUCAUAAAAUUGAGAGGGAACCCCCAAAUCCCAGCUUCUCUUUGGGGAACAAAGAUUUUGGACUGCACAUCUAGCACCCCAACUUAUGACUCCCAACUGAGGGACUGACUGCAAUCCUCCCUCUUUGUGACACAGAUGGAUCUUGCACACCCUUGCCUGCUGAGAGCCGCUAAGAACAAAGGUGGUGGCUUGGAUAAUCAUAAAGGUUUGAGAGAUUACCAAGAGCUUGGGCUAAACUGAUUAAUGAAGUUCAUCUACCUGAGACCACUCUGUUAAAUUGGGAGAGGUGGCUUUUAUAUCUAAUGUGCAGAAACCAGCAGAGUCAAGACAUCUAGAUCUGAAAGCCAACAGGGCUUACCUCUACAAGACCCACAAGACUAUUGCAUACAAAGAAGCUGUUCUUAAUGGGUGUGUGACCGCUUGACACAACUGUCUCCCUAGGCUCAGAGUAGAGGGAGCAGGAAAAAACACCCAUCUUCUAGUCUUUCCCUGAAAAGGGUCUGACUGUAUACAUGCUAUUGUUUGAGGCUCUGGCUUUUUUUUUUUUUUUUUUAAGAUUUUAUUUAUUUGAGAGAUGGUGUGCACCAGCAGGGGUGGUGGUGGGGUGGGCAGAGGGAGAGGGAGAAGCAGACUCCCCACUGAGGCUGAUCCCAGGACUGAGCCACCCAGGUGCCCUGAGGGUCUGGCUUAUUAAUUUAGCAUGUAUCUAGUGACUGGCUGUGAUAUCCUCUAAAGACUGGGAAAGCUGUUGGAAAUUUCCACAGCCUUAAACUUAGUGGCCAAGAUCUCUCUGGAAGAAGCUUGUACACAUGUAUGGACCCCCAGCUUUUGUGGCUACAGCCUGAGGGAUGGGCCCCCAAGCCACCUAGCUCUGAUAGCCAACAGGGUUGCAUGCAUGAAUCCCAUAGGAUUAUAGCAAACAAGCAGUUUUUACAUGGGUACAGAAAUACCCCUCUCUGGCUAUAAACCUGUGCUUGGCACAAAGAGGGAAGGCAAAAAUGCCCAUUACCCAGGUUCUCCCUGAAAGGGGCUGAACUACAUACUUUUAUAGUUGCUGCCUGAAGGUCAAGGUUGUAAUCAGCCUGCAUUUAAGUGCUGACUAUAAUCCUCCCCCUUGUGACACAGAUGGGUCUUGCAUACCCAUACUGGGAGCCACUAAGAACAGAGGUAAUGGCUUGGGCAGUCAUAAAAGUUUGAGAGAGAGGAGGCUGGGCUGAACUAAUUGACAAGCUUCAUCUACAUGAGACCACUCUGUCAAACUGGGAGAGAAAAGUCAAUAUUAUAAUGAUAAAGGAGCCAAUUCAUCUAGAGGAUAUAACAUCUGUAAAUAAUAUGCACCUAUUAUAGGAGUACCUAAAUGUGUAAAGCACAUAUUAACAGAUCUGAAGGGAGAAAUAGCAGUACAAUAAUAGAAGGGGACUUCAACAUCCCUCUUUCAACAAUAGAUUGUCCAGACAGAAAAUCGAUAAGGAAACUUGGAUUUAAAUGACAUAUUAGACCAGAUGGACCUAACAGACAUAUACAGGACAUUUUAUCCAAAGCAACAGAAUCCACGUUUUCAAGUGCACUCGGAACACUCUCCAUGAUAGAUCACAUUAGGCAACAACAAGUCUUAAUACAUUUAAGAAGAUUGAAAUCAUAUCAAGCAUCUUUUUUGGCCACAGUAGUAUGAAAGUAGGAAUCAAUCACAAUGAGAAGACUGAAAAAUUUACAAGUAUUUGGAUAUUACAGCAUGAUUCUGAAGAACAAAUGGGUGAAAGAAAUUAAAGGAGAAAUAAAAGUAUCUUGAGACAAUGAAAAAGGAAACAAUAUACCAAAACUUACGGGAUUACCACAAAAGUAGUUCUAAGAGAGACGUAGUGAUAAAUGUCUACAUUAAGGAAAAAGAUCUCAAAUAGCCUACUUUUAUACCUCAAGGAACUAGAACAAACUAAGCCCAAAGUUAGUAGAAAGAUGGAAAUAACAAAUAUUAGAGUGGAAAUAUAUGAAACAGAGACUGAAAACAUGAUAGAAAAGAUCACUGUAAGAGCUGACUUUUGAAAAGAUAGACAAACCUUUAGCUGUACUCAUCAAGAAAAAAAGAUUGAAAAUCAGAAAUGAAAGAGAAGACCUAACAACUGAUAUACACAGAAAUACAAAGGAUCAUAAGAGAACACUACCAACAGUUUUACCCCAACAAAUUGAAAGAAACGAAUAAACAGAUACAUUCCUAGAAACACAACCUAUCAAUACUGAAUCAUGAAGAAAUAGAAAAUCUGAGUAGAACAAUUACUGAAAGGAAAUUGAGGCAGUAAUCCAAAGCCUCUCAGCAAAGAAAAGUUCAGGACCAGAUGGUUUACUGGUGAAUUCUACCAAACAUUUAAAGAAUUAAUACCCAUCCUUCUCAAACUCUUCCAAAAAAAUAGGGGUGGGGGGGAACACUUCUAAACUCAUUUUAAUAGGUCAGUAUUACCUGAUAUCAAAGCUAGAUCUUGACACUACAAUAAAAGAAUAUUACAGGCUAUUAUCUUUGAUCAGUGUAGAUGAAAAAUCCUCAAUGAAAUGUUAGCAAACUAAAUUCAACAAUACAGUAAAAGCAUUAUACACUGUGAUCAAGUGGGACUUACUCUGUGGAUGGAGUGAUGGUUCCACAUCCACAAAUAAUAUCAUACACCACUUUAAAAAUGAAGGAUAAAACUCCUAUGACAUCUCAAUAGAUGCAGAAAAAUCAUUUUAUAAAAUUCAACAUCCUUUCACCAUAAAAACAACACACUAGAUGUAGCAGGGAGAUACCUCAACAUAACAAAGAUCAUAUAUGACAAGCUCUAAAGCUAAUAUACUCAACAGUAAAAAGCUGAAAAUUUUUCCUCUAAGAUUGGGAGCAAGACAAGGGUACCCACUCGUUGCUUUUUAUUCAACAUAGUACUGGAAUUCGUACCUAGAACAAUUAGACUAGAAAAAGAAAUAAAAUAAUCCAAAUUGAAAAGGAACAAGUAGUCUUUUUUUGUGGAUGACAUAUAUAGGAAACCUAAAGAUCCAGUCUGAAACCAUUAGAACAAAUGGAUUCUAUAAAGUUGAAUGAUGCAAAAUCAAAAUACAAAACUUAAUUGCUUUUCUAUACACUAACAACAAACAGAUAUAGUUCCACUUUCUUGUGAAGCUUUUGUCUACUCUCACCCUUCCAAGAUAUUUAUAUCUUCCUGACCAUUUCAUUACUGCAUAUAUUUUUCUAUUAUUGCAUGCACUGAGCACUUUGUUACUGUUUUGAUUACUAGAUUAUGAUUGUUUUCAGUUCAGUAUUAUACAUAUCUCUAUCCUCAAUGCUUAGUAUUGCCUGAUACACAGUAAGCACUUAGUAAAUGAAGUACAUUUGUCAAAAGGGGUGAUUGGAAAGGAGUUAAGGUGGCAGAGGAGUAGGGGGACCCUGCACUUGGCUCGUUCCUUGAACCCAGCUAGAUAAAUAUCAAAUCAUUUUGAACACCCAAGAAAUCAGUCUGAGGACUGAGAAAACUGCACAUCCACAAGUAGAAAAACAACCACUUUGUGGAAGAUGGGGACUGCAGAGAGUUGAUUUGGGGGAGGAAAACUACAGGUGCUAUGGAGGGGAGGGAGACUUGAUUGUAGAGAGAGGAGUGAGAGAGGAAGUGAAGCAACAGGCAGAGAAUUAAAAACUUCCCCCAAACCAUUGACUGGGAGAAGGAGAGGGGCUGCCUACCUCAAGUUAUUAUAAGCAGUGGAGUGCAAAGUCUGAAGUUUUAGAAGUCUGAGUCAUGGGGUCGUGCCUGGGGGCUAAAUGGUGCUUUUGCAGGGAAGGAGGGCAGAGACCUGGGAGCAGGCAGCAUGGUCUGAGAAUCUCCUGGGUUGCAUGGGGAGAAAGAGUACCCCUUCUUGGAGUGCAUUUGGGAGUGGUGGCACGGCCUCUCCGGGGACAGAAGACCUGGCAGUGCCAACAUGCUGCCCAUUCCCUACCAUAGGAACAAAGACACCAGCUGAGGGCAGCAAGCCUUGGUGCCAGCUUAUUGCUAUGCUUUGCCAUAGACUCUGAACCACUGCUCGGCUGUGUGACUGCUUUUCUGGGACAAACUGGCAAAUGGCAAAAGUGCAGCAAGACCCUCCCCCAGAGGAUCAGUGCAGGUCUGUGUGGCAUGGGUCCAUAAAAUUUGAUUUUGAAACCGAACUGCACAACUGAGAAAAAAAGAGUACUGUGCUACCUGGCAGGCAGACAGGUGGGACAUAGGGUGAAGGCAGGGAUCUGAUGGAAGUCUGGGACACAAGAGGGGUGAUUGCUCUUCUGUGAGGGCUUCCUAAAGAGUGGUGGGCUCAAACUCUUUGUUCCAGGGAGGAGAGAGCGGGAUGAUGCCAUUUUCCCCACUGUCCAUCAGCAAUGACCAGGGAGCCUCAGUAACGCAGCACCUCCCCAGUGGAGACUGGAGUCACUUACCUCAAGUCCCACCCCACUGCACCCUGCAAAUGCAUAUCCACUAGAGCAAGUCCGCCUGAGAAUCAGCUCAGCAGGUCUCUCCCCCAGAACACCAGCACAAACCCUUUGCAUGGACCACAUCUACUGAUCAUAGAGUGCUGCAAAGCUUCAGCUCUAAGGGAAAUUGGAUCCAGCUAUUUUGUUUUCUUUUGUUUUUUGGAUCUAGCUUCUUUUAACAAGCAGACCAAAACAGACCUAGGAUCUAGCUUCCUUUUUUUUUUUAAAUCUCUUUUUAUCUCUUUUUAAUAUAACCAUUACUCUCAGGGGCAGGAAUACAACAGGCUUUCUUAAUCACACACAAAAAACAGUAACCCAGGCAAAAUGACAAGAUGGAGGAAUUCACCCCAAAAGAAAGAACAAGAAGAAGUCACAGCCAGGGAUUUAAUCAAUACAGAUACAAGUAAGAUGUCUGAACCAGAAUUUAAUCAAUAAUCAUAAGGAUACCAGCUGGGCUUGAGAAAAGCAUAGAAGACACUAGAGAAUCCCUUACUGCAGAGAUAAAAGAACUAAAAACUAGUGAGGCUGAAAUAAAAAAUGCUGUAACUGAGAUGCAAAACAGAAGGGAUUCCAUGACAAUGAGGAUGGAUGAAGUAGAGAAAUCAGUGAUACGGAAGAUAAAAUUAUGGAAAAUAAUGAAGCUGAAAAAAGGAGGUAAAGAAAGGUAUUCAAUCCCAAAUGUAGAUUUAGGGAACCCAGCAAUUCCUUAAAUUCCUUUUUAUCAUAGUCCCAGAAGAAGAAGAGAAAGAAAAAGGAGCAGAAGGUUUAUUUGAGCAAAUUAUAGCUUCCCUAAUCUGGGGAAGGAACUUCUCUAAUCUGGGGAAGAAAACAGACAUUGGAAUCCAAGAAGCACAGAGAACUCCCUUUAAAUUCAAUAAGAGCCAGCCAGCACCCAGACAUAUCAUAGUCAAAUUCACAAAACACACAGACAGGGAAAGAAUCCUGAAAGCAGCAAGGGAAAACAAAAGUCCUUAACCUACAGGGGAAGAUAGAUCAGGCUUGUAGCAGAUUUGCCCACAAAAACUUGGCAGGCCAGAAGACAGUGUCAUGAUAUAUUCAAUGUGCUGAAUGGAAAAAAUACACAGCCAAGAAUACUUAUCUAGCAAGGCUGUCAUUCAGAAUGGAAAGAGAGAUAAAGAGUUACCAGGACAAACAAAAACUAAAGGAGAUUGUGACCACUAAACCAGCCCUGCAAAAAUAUUAAAGGGGACUCUUUGGGGAAAAAAAGACCAACGGAAACAAAGACUAGAAAGGAACACGGAACAUCACCAGAAACACCAACUUUACAGGUAACACAAUGGGACUAAAUUCAUGUCUAUCAGUAAUCAUUGUGAAUAUAAUUGGACUAAAUGCUCCGAUCAAAAGACAUAGGGUAGGGGCGCCUGGGUGGCUCAGUUGGUUAAGCGACUGCCUUCAGCUCAGGUCAUGAUCCUGGAGUCCCGGGAUCGAGUCCCGCAUCGGGCUCCCUGCUCAGCAGGGAGUCUGCUUCUCCCUCUGACCCUCCCCCAUCUUGUGCUCUCUCUCAUUCUCUCUCUCUCAAAUAAAUAAAUAAAAUCUUUAAAAAAAAAAAAAGACAGGGUAUCAGAAUCGAUUAAAAACAAAAACAUCUAUAUGCUGCCUACAAGAGACCCAUUUUAUUUUAUUUUAUAUUAUUAUUUUUAAAGAUUUUAUUUAUUAGAGUGAGUGAGAGAGAGCACAAGUGGGGAGGGGCAGAGGGAGAGGGAGAAGCAGACUCCCUAUUGAAUGGGGAGCCUGACCCGGGGCUCAAUUCUGGGACUCCAUGAUCAUGACCUGAGCCAAAGGCAGACAUUUAACCGACUGAGCCAACCAGCCCCGAAGAGAUUCUGCACACUGCAAAUUGAAAGUGAGGGGAUGGAGAACCAUCUAUCAUGCUAAUGAACGCUAAAAGAGAGCUGGAGUAGCCAUACUUAUAUUAGACAAACUAGGUUUUAAACCAAAGACGGUAACAAGACUGGGACAUCUGGGUGGCUCAGUUGGUUAAGUGUCGGCCUUUGGCUCAGGUCAUGACCCUGGAGUCCAGGAUCAAGCCUUGCAUCGGGCUCCCUGCUCAGCAAGGAGUGUGCUUCUCCCCCUGCCUCUGCCCUGGCCCCUGCUCCUUCUCUCUCUCAAAUAAAUAAAUUAAAAUCUUAAAAAAAAAGCACAGGUGGUAACAAGAUGAAGAAGGACAUUAUAGCGUAAUUAAGGGGUCUAUCUAUCAAGAAGAUCUAACAACUGUAAAUAUGCCCCCAAAUUGGGAGUACCCAAAUAUAUAAAUCAACCAAUAAAGAACAUGAAGCUCAUUGAUAAUAUUAUAAUAAUAGUAGGGCAUUUUAACACCCUACUUACAGUAAUGGACAGAUCAUCUAAGCAGAAAAUCGACAGGGAAACAAUGGCUUUGAAUGACACACUGUACCAGAUGGACUUAACAGAUAUAUUCAGAAUAUUACAUCCUAAAGCAGUGCAAAUACAUACUCUUUUUCAGCGCACAUGGACCAUCUCCAGAUUAGAACACAUACUGGGUCCCAAAUCAGCCCUCAACAGGUACAAAAAGAUUGAGAUCAUAACAUGCAUAUUUUUAGACCGUAAUGAUACGAAACUUGAAUUCAACCACAAGAAAAAAUUUGGAAAGACCACGCAUACAUGAAUAUUAAAGAACAACCUACUAAAGAGUGAUGGGUUAACCAGGAAAUUAAAGAAGAAAUAAAAUACAUGGAAGCAAAUGAAAAUGAAAACAUGAUAGUCCAAAACCUCUGGGAUGCAACAAAUGCGGUCAGAGAUGUUACAUGGUGUGAUGGCAUAGUUGCUCUAAUGUUAACAUAUGCAAUCCUACAAGGUCACUAUUCCAGUUAUCUCCAUUUAUAGCAACAAAGACAGCUCCAGGAGGACAAGUAAUUUUGCCUGAGAUUAGUAGAGAGACACAGCAAGAGAAGGAACACAAGCAAGGGGAGUGAGAGAGGGAGAAGCAGGCCUCCGGCUGAGCAGGACCCCCACACAGGGCCAGAUCCCAGGACCACGGAAUCAUGACCCGAGCCGAAGGCAGACACUUAAUGACUGAGCCACCCACGCGCCCCUCAAGUUUCCCUCUUUUAAGGAUACAUGUAAUGGCAUUUAGGGUCCACCUGAAUAAUCUAGGAUGAUCUUUCCAUCUCAGGCUCCUUAACUUCAUCAUAUCUGCAAUGACCUUUUUUCCUUAUAAGGUAACAUUUACAGGUUGAUAUCUCAUUUGUGAGUUUGAUUUGCAUUUCUCUGAUGACUAAUGAAAUUGAAUACCUCUUCAUAUCUAUAUAGGCUUUUCUUAUGUGAAUCAUUUGCUCAUAUUUUUUCCUAUUGGUUGUCUGUUUUCUUUUUAUGAGAAAUUGAUUUGUAAUUGUGCAAAUUCUUUGUUGAUGGAUGUGUUGCCAAUAUCUUUUCCACUCUGUGACUUGUCUUUUCAUUUUCUUAGUUGUGUUUUUUGAUGAGUGGAAAGUCUUAAUUUUUUUUUAAAGAUUUUUUAUUUUUUAUUAGAGAGAGUACAAGCAGGGGGAGCGGCAGGUAGAGGGAUAGGGAGACAAUGUGAGUCUCGAUCCCAGGACCCUGGAAUCAUGACCUGGGCCGAAGGCAGCCCCUUGACCGACUGGGAGCCACCCAGGUGCCCCCGGAAGGUCUUAAUUUUUAUGUAGUUCAAUUUAACAAUCAUUUCUUUUAUGAUUAACACAUUCCGUAUCCUGUUUAAGAAAUCUUUGCUUGCUCUGAAGUCAUAAAGAUGUAAUUCAGGGGCGCCUGCCUUGCUCAGUCAGUAGAGCCUGCCACUCUUGAUCUCAGGGUUGUGAGUUCAAGCCCCACAUUGGGUGUGGAGAUUUCUUAAAAAUAAAAUCUUAAAAAAAGAGAUGUAUUCCAAAUUUAUCUUGGAAACUUUAUUUUUAAAUCACAUUUAGCUUUAUAAUUCAUGUGGAAUCAAUUUUUGCAUAUGGUGUGAGGUAAGGACAAGAUUCACUUUUUCAGAUGGAUAUGCACCAUAUUGUCUCCUUUUUCAUAAAUCAACUGGCCAUAUAUGUACAAAUUAAUUUUGUUUUAUAAAGUGAUGUAUGUGCUAGGAAUUGUAUUUGGUACUAAUGAUAUAGCUAGAAAUAAUAGAGGUUAUCUGUUCUGAAGAUGGUCUUCAUUGAAUGAGGAAGAUAAUAAAUGAGAUAAUGAAAAACAUAGUAAUCAUAUUAAAGUUGUAUGUUGUGAGUUAAGGGAAUAAGUUUUUCUAUGAGGAGAUGAGGAAAACUCUGCUAGAGGUGGCAGAAUUUGAGCUGGGUCUUGAAAAAUGAGUAGGAGUUUGAUAAAUGCAUCCCAUGUAGUAGGAAAAAUAGUGAAAAGACACAGGAUUGUCAAAGAGUAGGUGUAUUCAUAAAAUGGUGAGAAGUUUGCUAUAGGAAGAAGUGUGCAAGAAGGUGAGAGGGAGGAGGACAAAGGAGGACCAAGAGUUGAUGGAUACAAGGCUAGAACAUUUUAGGCAGAGAAGAUUACAUGUGUAGAAUUAAGUAAUUAUAAAGGAACAUGGUAUAUUUAUCAAUGGUGAGAAAUUCAGUAUGGCUAGAAGAUAGAUUGUGUUUGCAUGGGAGAGUGGUGUGAAGGAGCAUCAGGGGAGAGAUGAGGAGCUAAUGAAGAUGAGGAUGAAAUUUGGGUUGGACUUUAUUUUGAAGGAAAUUAGAGAGAAGGAAAGUUUCCAAUUAGCAAGUAGUUUUAGGAAAACCAUUUUAGGAAAAUGAGCCUGGGGGCAUAGAGGAUAGAUUAGAAGGUGGGAGAUUGGUAGAUGGAAAUAAGAAAAAUGAGGGUUGGCCAAGGGGUGGCAGUGGUGAUGGUGAGACAGUGUCACAUGUGGAACAAGUCGGAUAUAUAGUCAAGAGGACUGGUGACCAUGAAUGGUGAGGAAUAGGCAAGUGUAACAGAUGACAAAUUUAUAGUUUGAAAGACUGAGUGAAUGGUUACACUAUCAACUGAUAGAGGAAAUAUGAGGAGAAGGCUUAGCGGUAGCAAAUAAUAAAUUUUGGACUUAAUAGAUUUGAGAUGUUAGUGCAUUAAGUAGUUGGAGACAUCUAGGAAAAUUAAAAAUUAUGUGUGUGGAGCUCAAGAGGAAGGUAGGGAGGUCAAGGCUCUAAGUAUAUAUUUGAGAACCAUCAGCACAGAGAAGAUACUUGAAGCCAUAGGAAUGGAUGAAGUCAUCCAAGGAGAGUAAAAGGAGGAUUAAGAAAAUAAGUCUAGAGUCAAUUCAGAGUAACUUGAACACCUAAGAGGAGUAGAGGAAGAUGAGUCUGUGAAGGUGGGAUUUUUCCACUGCCCCAUCUGUGGUUUCUAAUUUUCAACAGUAGCAUUAUUUCUUGUGUAAUAUAAAAUAAAAUGAAAAGAAACAAUAGGUAUGAAAUUUAGGAAAAACAAGAAAGAGUUAUGUCAAGAAGUUAGGGAUGUUCACAGCUUUAGAUGACACACAAAGUAAAAAUAAACCAUAUAAUUUGUUAAUGAACUUCCCUUUUCCUUUUCCUUUGCUUUUAUUGGGAUAAUGUAUGUAUAGGGUUCAAAAAAUCAAAUAUGCUUUACAUAAAAGCAUUUGAUAAAAAGCACCAGUUUUUCUUCCUGCCCAGAUACCCAUUUCUCAAAAGCAGCCUAUGUUUAACUCUGUUUUUUUUUAGUUGUAAAAUGUCUAAAUAUAAGUAUGCUUGUUCCUCUGUAUUUUGAUUUACCUACUUUAGAUCGUGACUGUUGGGCUUGGCAGAAUUCUAACAUGGCUCCGAAGAUUCUCUCCAUGGUUUGCAUGCCUUGUAUAGUCCUUUUCCCUUGAGAGUUGGUUAUGCCUGUGAAUAUUAUGGGCUGUUACUCUAAUGAUUAGGUUAUUAGUCAGUUGACUUUCAGUUAAUGCAAAGAUUAUCCUGGGUGACCUAUUCAGAUGAGCAUUUUAAAAAGGGACCAGGACUUUCAAAAAAAAAUUCUCCUACCAGACUUGAAGAAGAAAGCGGUCAUAUUUUGAGAGAAGAGGGCCAUCUGGCUAGGACCUAGCUGUGGAAAGCGAACGCUGGCUGACAGAAGCAAGAAAUCGGGGACUUCAGUCAAACUGCAAGAUGAUGAAUUUUGUCAACCGUUAGAAAGUUUGGAAAAGGGCUCCAAGCCUCAGAUGUGAUUGCAGCCCUGGCUGACACCUUGGUUUCAGCCUGAUGAGAUCCAGAGCAGAGGAUCCAGCUAACCUGUGCCCAGACUCCUGAUCCACAGAAAAUUGUGAGAUAAUAAAUUUGUGUUGUUUUAAACUGAUAAAUUUGUAAGAAGUUGUCAUGCAGAAAUAGAACACUAAUACAAAUUUUAACUUCCAAUGAAAAGAUAUAAUUUAUUUACUUUUUCUCUUCAUUUCCCCUCUCAUUAUUUAAAUGUUGUAAUGACUUUAGUUCUUCAAAUGGUUUAUUUUGUUUGUUUCACUGCUAUUUCUUAUUCUUUUAAAUUUUAGUUAGAAUUUUGAUUCCUAUUAAUGUGGAAGAAGGAUAUUAACAAUUGUACUCUUUUUUUCCUCCUGAUUUCUGACUUUCACCUAGAGUGAGCAUAGUGAAGCCUGCUGGUAGGAGAAACCUGGCUCUAGUCUGGGGCAUCUAAGGAUGUGCAGCUGCACAGUGAUGGGAAUAUUGUGUAAUAAAAACACAGUACACCUGCUCAGAGUGAAUUAUUAUUAAUCUAUAAGGGAUGUGAGUUAAUUUAAAAAGGGUAUAUGCUCUUGCCAGUUGAUAAAACUUGGCUGGGUUUCUCAGGGAUGCUCUGCCCUGCCUGUUGAAACCAUCCCCUGAGAUGCUUAGGGAAGACAAGUAAAAGCUGCCAGGAAAAGGCUAAGGGAAAUUAAGUGUAGAAACUCUGCCUAGGAGGCUAAAGGAUAAUUUAAGUUCAUCAGAUGUCGAGAGACUUAGGUAUAAUUUAAUGCUGGGAAGAUAAACAACAGUUUCAUCUAAUUGGGAAGCCCCACUAUCAUUGGGUUUUCUGAUCCUCUUCAAUCUGCUUGAAUAUUUGCUGUUAAGGAAGAUGUAUUUUAUAGAGAGAUCUUUGGAAGUGUGGUAAUGUCUUGCAACACUACCUUCUAUGCAUUCCAGGUUAUUACCAUUGAGUCUCUUCUAUAACCCAAAUUGUGUUCUGGGUUUAGUUUAGAUUGAAUAGAAAAGUUUAAAAAUGAUAAACAGUAUUUCCAAUGUUAUGAACCUGUCACUGUGUUUGAGUUGCAAGUAGAAGAAACCAAUUUUAGUCACCUUAAGCAAAAGAGCUUUUUUUGGUUGGGAAGGAUCUCAGUCCCCAGGAUUGAUGGAAAGUGUGGAGAACCCAGCUCAGAAACAUGGUGCUAUAACUAAAGUAAAUGUAUGGGAGAUUGAAGAACUAGGAUAGGGAAUCUGAAAGGCUGCACCCCCAGACCAUGGGGUGGUAGGUAGAAGAAGAAUCUCACCUCUCAGAGGGACUCUUCAGGGACUUCUUUGAAUUUCAUCAAAGGUUGAGAGUAGGACGCAUUGAUUACAGUUCCACCAAGACUGUACCCCGUGAAAGAGCGAGUUUCCCAAAGGAGAUGGUGGAAUUGUUGGCAAGGAUGCCUGGAUGCCGGGCAGUGGAAAAAAGUUCUGAGGAUCACAUGGUGUUUAGAAUUUGCAAGCCUGAAGGGCAUCUAGGUCUUUUUCAGGGCUGCGAAAGGCUAAACUGAAAAGGGAUGUGGGGGGAAAGCAGGGAUGUCAUCAAACAUUAAGCUAGACUAAGAAAAGCAAUGUCCUUAUUCACUUAGCUAGAUCAAAAAAGCACCUCUAAAUCUGGGAAUUUAGACCUGUCUGCUUUAAAAUGGUCAUAAUCCAAGUCGUAAAGGGAGAUGGGAGAGGAUUUCACAGUGUUUCCACUUGCCUGCAAAGUUUCUCCACCUUGUCCAAUUAAUUUCAGAUCCAGUGUUCAGAAUAUUAUUAUAAUAUUAUUUCUCUUUGCUUGUGUCUAUGUAGUAAGUCUUGUCUAUGUUCUUUUCUAUAUCCAAUUAAAUGAAGAAUGGGACAUACUCUGUUUAUUCCUGAUUGCUUUCUGACCAGAAACCAUGCCUUCCUUGUUCGUUGUUGUAUUAUUCCUCCUAACGUUCUUCUACUCUGUUGUAGAAAGUGCUACUUGGAUUGCAAAGUACCCCUCUCCAAGUUACAAAAUGUAUAGGAAACUGCUUUCUGAAUUUCUAAGAGCUUAUUUUUUCAGACCAGUUCUUCACUGGGACAAUUAAAGCUGAGAUUUGAUAAUUAUCUUGAUACUUCAAUAGGAAAAUUCUCUUGCCUCAAUUACAUAAAAGUGGAUUACUUUGCUAUAAUUUGGACAGCUGUGUUUGUUCUUCCCAUCACUUGGCCACUCAGGUCCUUUGCAUAAGUUUCUUUAGAAGGACGGUAGAUGCUGAAGAGGGCAGCAUCCUUUCAGAGAUUGUGAACAUCCAGUUGGGAUGUGGUUGUGUUGUAAGCCUGAGAGAUGGUUACCAUGAAGAUAAUGUGACUGGCUUUGCUAUCAUCACUUAAAAAAUAAUUAUGUGCUUGACUGCUACUUGAGGAAAGAAAAUAUUCUCAAAUUAGAUUUUCCUUUCCAUUUAAAAGUGGAAACCUUUCCUCAUUGCUUAAGAAAAGUGAAGUCUGUAUGAUUCCUUUAGGCACAUAUAAGCCUAGAUGUGGAAGACUUAGUAGUUUUAUCUAACUGCUUAUUUAAAAGUCAGUAAAAACUUAGUAAAGGCAUAUAUGAUUAGAUUAUAAUGUUCUAGGUUUUUCAGCUUUAUAAUUAAAUUUAAAGUGUCUGUGUUGAAAUUUGUUUCAAUGAUAUUAGGGAAAAGAAAAAGUUCUUUUGGGGAUGGGGCAAGAGAAUUGAUUCCUUCUUUAGCAGGUUUCUCUCACUUUUGUGCCUUUUUCCUUUUGACCCAAUUUUUUUUUCUUUAUCCUUUAGAGAAACCUGAAGUUCAUCCUUACUUUUCCUUUCUGUCUCAUAUUCCACAGCCAUCAACUCUUGUCUCAUAUAUAUCUCUGGAAACCAUCCCAUUCACUGCUUUCCCACUGCCCAAGUUCAGACUUGCACCAUCUAUUUUGGAGACAACAGUUUCCAUUCUUGACGUCUUCCAUCUCAAUUCACCUUUCCUAUUGCCACCAGAAUUAUUGUCCUAAAAUGCAAAACUCUCUUGCUUAAAACCCUUCUGCAGUUCUCUUUCAAUUGUGGAUUAAAACCCAAACGUAGGAUCAUAAGUUCCUCAGUGAUAUAUCUUCUGCACAGUUUUCUUUCUCACCAACCACUCCUAUCCACACAUGUUCAAGGAACACUGAACUGUUGGGUGUCAAAUCCAAAAAAAAUCAUUGCCAAGACCAAUGUCAAGGAGCUUACCAACUGCAUAUGUUUUCUUCUAGGAGCUUUAUGAUUUCAGGUCUUACACUGAAGUCUUUAAUCUGUUUUGAGUUAAUUUUUGUGUAUGGUAUAAGAUAGUGAUCCAGUUUUAUUCUUUUGCAUGUGGCUGUCCGGUUUUCCAGCACCACUUAUUAAAGACACUUUUCCUUUCCUCUUGUGUUUUCUUGGUUUUUGUCAUAAAUUGGUUGACCAUAUAUGCAUGGAUUUAUUUCUGGGCUCUCUUUUCUAUUCUGUUGAUCUAUGUGUCUGUUUUUGGGCCAAUAUCAUAACAUUAUCGCUUUGUAAUGUAGUUUGAAAUCAGUGAGUAUAAUGCCUCCAACAUUGUUCUUCUUUCUCAAGAUUGCUUUGGCUAUUUAGGGUCUCUUAUGGUUCUACACAAAUUUUAGGAUUGUUUGUUCUAGUUCCGUGAAAAAUGCCAUUGGAAUUUUGAUAGGAAUUGCAUUGAAUCUAUAGAUUGCUUUGGAUUGUAUGGACAUUUUAAAAUAUUAAUUUUCCAAUUCAUGAGCACAGAAUGCUUUUUCAUCUAUUUGUGUCUUCAGUUUUUUUUCUUAAUGUCUUACCGUUUUCAGUGUAGAGGUUUUUUAUCUCCUUGGUUAUAUUUAUUUCUAGAUAUUUUAUUCUUUUUGAUGUAAUCAUAAAUGGGAUUGUUUUCUAAAUUUUUCAUUUUUUUUAAAGAUUUUAUUUAUUUGACAGAGAGAGACACAGCGAGAGAGGGAACACAAGCAGGGGGAGAGGGGGAGGGAGAAGCAGGCUUCCCACUGAUCAGGGAGCCCGAUGCGGGGCUCGAUCCCAGGACCCUGGGACUAUGACCUGAGCCGAAGGCAGAUGCUUAAUGACUGAGCCACCCAGAUGCCCCUAAAUUUUUCAUUCUGAUAAUUCAUUACUAGUGUAUAGGAAUGCAGCAGACUUUUGUUAAUUAAUUUUGUAUCCAAAACUUUACUGAAUUCAUUUGUUAGUUUUACCAGCUUUUUGGUGGAGUCUUUAGGGUUUUCUAUAUAUAAUAAUCAUGUCAUCUGCAAAUGCAAGUGAGAGUUUUACUUCUUGUAUUUCUUUUUCUUGCCUAAUUGUUCUGGUCAGGACUUCCAGUACCAUGUUGAAUAAAAAUGGUGUUAAUUCUUUUUUUUUUUUUAAGAUUUUAUUUAUUUAUUUGACAGAGAGAUAGAGAGCACAAGUAGGCAGAGCAGCAGGCAGAGAGAGAGGGAGAAGCAGGCUCUCCACUGAGCAGGGAGCCCAACAUGGGGCUCAAUCCCAGGACCCUGGGAUCAUGACCUGAGCUGAAGGCAGACACUUAACGACUGAGCCACCCAGGCACCCAAAAUGGUGUUAAUUCUUAAAUGUUUGGUAGAAUCCGCCAGUAAAGUCAUCUGGUCUUUGACUUUUUGGACUUCUUGAUUACCAAUUUGAUCUCUUUACUCAUUACUUGUCUGUUCACAUUUUCUGUUUCUUCAUGAUUCAGUUUUGGUGGGUUGUGUUUCUAGGAAUUCAUUAAUUUGGUCUAGGUUAUUCAGUUUCUUAGAGUACAAAUUUUCAUAGUAUUCUCUUAUAAUCCUUUUUGUUUCCAUGGCAUCUGUGUUAAUGUUCCUCUUUUGCUUAUGAUUUUAGUUAUUUGAGUCUUCUCUUUUAUUAAUCUAGCUAAUAAUCUGUCAAUUUGUUAAUUAUUUUUAAAACCAGCUCUUCUGUUGAUUUUGUCCUUUGUUUUUCUAGUCUUUUAUUUUGUUUAUGUCUGCUCCAAACUUUAUUUUAUUCUUCCUUCUGCUUAUUUUGGGUUUAGUUUGUUCUUUUUCUAAUUUCUUGAGGUGUUUAAACUAGGUUGUUGAUUUGAGAUAUUUCUUUUUUUAAUGCAUACAUUUACAUCUAUAGACUUUAGCACUGCAUUCACUGCAUCUCAUAAGUUUUGCUUUUCAUUUGUGUAAAGGUAUUUUCUAAUUUCCCUUGUGAUUUCUUCUUUGACCCACUGGUUGCUUAAGAAUGUGUUAAUUUCCAUAUAUGUGGAUUUUCCAGUUUUCCUUGUGCUAUUGAUUUCUAGUUUAAUUUCAUUAUGAUUGAAAAAGAUACUUGUAUGAUUACAAUCUUCUUGAAUUUGUUAAGACUUGUUUUGUGGCCUACUAUGGUCUAUCCUGGAGAAGGAUCUCUGUUCACUUGAGAAUAUGUAUUCUGCUGCUGUUGGAUGGAAUGUUCUUUAUGUAUCCUAGAUUCAUCUGUUAUAACAUGUAUUAUAAGUCCAGUGUUUCCUUAUUGAUUUUCUGUCUGGUGGUUCUAUACAUUAUUGAAAGUGGGGUAUUGCUUUUAUUCUCCCUUCAGUCUGUCUUUGCUUUAUACAUUUAGGAGCUCUGAGGUUUGGUGCAUAAAUAUUUAGAAUUGUUAUAUCUUCUUGGUCAACUUUUGUAUAAUGUCAUUCUUGGUCUCUUGUUAACAGCUUUGAUUUAAAGUCUGUUUUGUCUGAUAUUAGUAUAGGCACUCCUGCUUUCUUUUGGUUGCCAUUUGCAUGGAUUUUUUUUAAUCCUUUCACUUUCAGCUUAUGAAUGUCCUUGUAUCUAAAAUGAGUCUCUUGUUAAAAAUGUAAUGAUCCGAAGUGGCACAUGCAUCCUGAUGUUUAUAGCAGCAAUGUCCACAAUAGCCAAACUAUGGAAAGAGCCAAGAUGUCCAUUCACAGAUGAAUGGAUAAAGAAGAUGUGGUAUAUAUAUACAAUGGAAUAUUACUCAACCAUCAGAAAGGAUGAAUACUGGGCGCCUGGGUGGCUCAGUUGGUUAAGCGACUGCCUUUGGCUCAGGUCAUGAUCCUGGAGUCCCAGGAUCGAGUCCCUCAUCGGGCUCCCUGCUCAGUGGGGAGUCUGCUUCUCCCUCUGACCCUCUUCCCUCUCGUGCUGUCUCUCAUUCUCUCUCUCAAAUAAAUAAAUAAAAUCUUUAAAAAAAAAAAAAAGAAAGGAUGAAUACUUACCAUUUACAUUGACAUGGAUGGAACUGGAGGGUAUUAUGCUGAGUGAAAUAAGCCAAUCAGAGAAAGACAAUUAUAUGGUUUCACUCAUAUGUGGAAUAUAAGAAACAGUGCAGAAGAUCAUAGAGGAAGGGAGGGAAAACUGAAUGGGCAGUUAUCAGAGAGGGAGACAAUGAGAGAUUCUUAGCUAUAGGAAACAAAUUGAGGGUUGCUGGAGGGGAGGUGGGUGGGAGGAUGGGGUAACUGGGUGAUGCUUAUUAAGGAGGGCACAUGAUGUGAUGAGCACUGGGUGUUAUAUGCAACUGAUGAAUUCUUGAACUCUACAUAUAGUACAUUAUAUUGAACUAAUGAUGUACUAUAUGUUGGUUAAUUGAAUUUAAAUAAAAAAAUAGUCUCUUGUAAUCAGUAUAUAAUUGGAUCUUUUAAAAAAAUCCAUUCAGCCAAUUUAUGUCAUUUGAUAGGAAUUUAAUCCAUUUACAUUAAUUACUGAUAAGGAAAGAUUUACUAUUGCUAAUUUUGUUAAUUGUUUUCUGUGUAUCUUUUUAGUUUAUUUGGGGGAGAAGAGAGGAAAGCGGAGAGGGAAAGGGAAAGAGAGAUUAUUAUUAUUAUUUUUUAAAGAUUUUAUUUAUUUAUUUGAGAGAGAAGAGAGAGAGCAUGAGCGGGGAGAAGGGCAGAGGGAAAAGCAGACUCCUCGCUGAGCAGGGAGCCCGAUGCAGGGCUUGAUGACGGAACUCCGGGAUCGUGAUCUGAGGUAGUCGCUUAACCAAGUGAGCCACCCAGGCGCCUUGGAAAGAGAGAUUAUUAAGCAGGCUUGAUCUAGGACACUGAGAUCAUAACCUGAGCAGAAAUCAAGAGUCAGAUGCUUAACCAAGUCAACUAAGUAGCCAACUAAGCGUCCCGGUUUUUUGUAUAUCUUGGACAUUUUUUUCCUCUUCUUUCCUGUCUUUCUUCCUGUGUUUCACUGACUUUGGUAAUGAUGUGUUUUGAUUCCUUUCUCAUUUCCUCUGGUGUAUAUUUUAAAGGUAUUUUCUUUGUGAUCACCAUUCCAAUUAUAUAAAAAAUCUUAAGUUAUAGCUUCUAUUUUAAACUGAUAACAACUUCAAUUACAUACAAAUAGCCUUUACUGUUCCACCCCCCUUUUUUGUUAUUGUCACAAAUCACAUCUUUAUAUAUUAUAUACUCAUUGACAUAGACUUAUGGUUUAAAAAAAAUGUUUUUGUCCUUUAAACUCUAUGGUCCAAAAUUACAAUAGGUCAGGCUACUGUAUUAGUCCAUAUAUUUACCUUUACUGGAGAAUCUUGUUUUUUUCUUAUGGCUUUGUGUUACUGUCUAUUGUCCAUAUGUUUCAACUUGAAUAACUCCCUUUAGCACUUCUUGUCAAACAGGUUUAUUGGUAAUGAAUUCCCUCAGCUUUUGUUUAGGAACAUCUUAAUAUCUUCUUUCUUUAAAAUUGAGAUGUAUUUGAGGGGCACCUAGGUGGCUCAUUAGGUUAAACAUCUGCCUUGGCAUCAGGUCAUGAUCCCAGUCUCCUGGGAUUGAGCCCCACAUUGGGCUCCCUGCUUAGUGGGGAGUCUGCUUCUCCCUCUCGCUCUGCCCCUCCCCACUGCUAGUGCUGUCUCUCAAAUAAAUAAAAUCUUUUAAAAAAUAAAAUUGAAAUCUAUUUGCCAUAUAAUAUUGUAUUAGUUUCAGGUGUACAGCAUUGUGAUCCAAUGUUUGUAUACAUUGUGAAAUGAUCAUCACAAUAAGUUUAGUUAAUAUCUCUCCUUAUUUUUUUUUAAGAUUAUUUUUAUUUAUUUGACAGAGAGAAUGAGAGAGUGAGCACUUCCAAGAUUGUCUCUUGUACCUUCUUUUGCAGCUUCCAAGAUUAUCUUUUGGUCUUUUACUUUAGACAGUUUGGUUAUAAUAAGUCUUUGUGUGGUUCUUUUUGGAUUUAUUCUAGUUAGAGUUUUUUUGAGAUUUUAAAAUUUGUGUGUCCAUUUCUUUCCUCAGAUUUGGGAAGUUUGGCCCAUUAUUUUUUCAAAUAAGUUAUUUGCCUCUUUCUUUUUUCUCCUCCAAAGAUUUCUAUAACAUAUAUGCUUAUCUGCUUGUUAGUGUUCUAUCAGUUUGUUAGGCUCUCUUCACUUUUUUCUUUUUUCAUUCUCUUUUCUUUUUGUUUCUUGGAAUUGAUGAUUUGAAAUGGCUUGGCUAAAUUCUUUGAUUUUUUUCACCUGAUCAAGUAUGCUGUUCAAGUUCACUAAUGAAAUUUUCAGUUUAGUUAUUGUAUUUUCCAGCUCUAGAAUUUGUGUUUGGUUCUUUUUUUUGAUAGUUUCUGUUUCUUUGUUUAUGUUCUUAUUUUGUUCAUGCAUUAUUUUCUUGAUUUCUUUUUUUUUUUUUUUUGACGAUUUUAUUUGUUUGACAGAGAGAGACACAGCAAGAGAGGGAACACAAGCAGGGAGAGUAGGAGAGGGAGAAGCAGGCUUCCCGCCGAGCAGGGAGCCCGAUGUGAGGCUCGAUCCCAGGACCCUGGGACCAUGACCUGAGCCAAAGGCAGAUGCUUAACGACUGAGCCACCCAGGCGCCCCUAUUUUCUUGAUUUCGUUUAGUUGUCUGUGUUCUUUUUUAGUUAACUGAACAUCUAUUUUGAUAUUUUAAAUUCUUUGUCAGGCAGCUCUUGAUCUGCAUUUCUUUAGGAUUGGUUUCUGGUAUAUUCUUUUGUACCUUUGAUUGGGCUAUGAUUCUCUGUUUCUUUGUAUGCCUUGUAAUUUCUUAUUGGAUUUGGACAUUUGAAAAAACAAUCACCUCUCUCAGUCUUUGUGUACUGGCUUUGUACAGGGCAAUACCUUUGCCAAUCAGCCGGGUUAGAAGUUCUGACCUUUGAAACUUUUUCUGAUCUCUUGCUCUUCCUGGCAUGUGCCUGUGGAACUAUAGCUUGAAUGUUUUCAGCAGCUUCUGAACUCUGGUCUGGUCUUGUCAGCACUCAGAGUCAACUAAGACAGACACCAUGACAGAAGCCUUUAUACAAGGCAGAAUUUUGAAUGUGGAGUCUACUUCAUAUUUCCAUGCUGAGGAAGGAGCUCUGGUAUGGAGUUUCCUCCUGGAUGCUCUGUACUAUGCUGCAUGGGGCAAGGGACAUGGACAGGUGUGCCAAAUGGUAUAAUUUUUCCUACUCCUUUCACUGGAAUCUCUUCUUAGUUUUCCAGUAGCUUGGAUGCUGUAGCUUUUUUACCUCUAGAGUUCUUACAUAGGUAUUCUGGUACAUACAUUUUUAAGUCAGUGUUUCUAUGAAAGGAGAGCCAGUAGCCUUAUAGUUCACCAUAUUCCUAGAAAUAAUAUUUUAAAGCAAAAUAAUUAUUUAGAAUAUAGGAUCUAUUGUCUAUUAAUAAUGAUCUCUUAUUCUAUUGUACUAUUAAAUAACAUGUUUAGAAAUUCAUUUAUUUUCAUGUUUAGUUUAUCCUGACCUGCACUUUUGCUGUAUCAAUUUAUUUUAGGAGAAGACAGGCUCAUCUUUGGGUUCCUUAAAUUCCAAUUAACUAUUUGCCUACACAGUACAAAUAUCAUAUUUUUUGAUACUUAAAUUUUUAAAAAAGACAAUAUUUGUGUUCAGAUAAUAGGCUACCAAAUAGGCUUUCUGUGCAUAUGUGUGUGUGGAUGCAUACAUGUGUAUAUGUAAUGAGGAGGCCAAGGGAAGAGUAGGGUCUUUCCUCCAGACUUACUACAAGUAGGAUACCUGCAUUUGAGACUAGUGGAAAUAGGGUGUUUGUAUUGGAUUUCAUCUAUGGAUGCAUUGAAAGCAGGGAAGAGUUCAGAUUAUAGGGUAUGGUCUUUUGGAAUUAGUAAAUUAUGAAUAGUUAUUUAUUGCUUCUGUUUCUCACUGCCAAGGUCAUUGUGUGAUUAUGCUAAUAAAGGUGUAUUUACUACUUACCUAAGGUAAUGUUAUGGGUUAAAUUGU